rnacentral:misc_RNA from 1 species
GUAUUGCCAAAAACAGGAAAGGCUCACGACUUCUGAAAAAUCUCGCAAAAACACAUCAACAGCUUGUCAAUUGGUUACAGGUCAAGGACAUCCUCCUCCCGCAGGAUCACGAAGUCGACACUUUAAAAGGCAUGUAGACCGCAUACUCUGCAUCUCAAAAUUAAUUGACACAGCCAGGCUCCUGAAUUUGGAUUGAUGUUUUUGCCAAGCUUGCUUCCAGCUCAUUUAACUCAUCCAUGUCCAGUUCAUCAUCAUCAUCAUCAUCAUCAUCAUCUUCUUCUUCUUCUUCAACAUUGCCCACGGAUGUUGCUGAGGUGCUUGGUCCAUCAGUGGAAGAUUUAACAUUGGCCUUCUCUUCAGGAGCAUCAGGUCGUUCCUCUCUUUGAUAUUCCUCGUAUGCCUCAGCAUCAUCCACAAAAAUACUAGCAUCUGAUAAAAAUAGCUCACGGCCACUCAUACGAUCAUUCUUAGCUCUCUCUGCCCUCUGUGCAGCCAAACCAGCAUCUCUCUCUUCUAUCUUCUUUUGCUUCCACUUCAUGAAUAACUCAGGAGUCAUAGGGGUUGAAGUAGUUACUUUGGCACGCUCAUUUUCAAUCUCCUCCUCAAUAGGCAUCUUUUCACUCUCUUCCUCUAACAGAGCCUUCAUCUGAGAUUUUAAUACAUAUCCUGGAGGAAGAGCAUGCCGAUAAU